ensembl:lncRNA
GAAAGAAAUAAAGCUGCAAGGCUUAAUCCAAGUUAACGUGUUUCUUAUUAUUAAGUGUGCUUGUCUUUGCAACCUUAUUAAUGUUCUUAUGAUGUUUUUACAGCCUCUGCCUGCAGCAUGAUUCCCUUCACCUGGAGCAAUUCUGAACAAAGGUCUGCACUUUUGUCCUGUACGGGUCCCCUGCUAGCUGCUGGGGACCACUGGGCAGCUGCCUGAGGUGUGGAAAUGCUGGAAUGUGGAAGAGGAGGAACUGAGAGCUGCUGAAGAUCUGGGGAAGCUGAAGUGAGAUGUGACUCAACAGCAUAUCAUCCCUGGCUCAUAGGAAGAGGCACCGACACAUCUGUCAGCAACCUGAAGAUUAUCAAGAGGAACUACAAGGAUCUGGGAGCAGCAGUGAAGAACUCGGGAGCACAGGUUGUUUUCUCAUCAGUCCUCCAGACACCUUGGAAUACUAACGCAGCCUGUGAACAAAGAGCCUGUAAAAACUUCGUUCUGAAGAAUGGAAGGAAUGAGGUCAGCUACAAAAGAGGAGGUUGGAUGUCAUCGAGUCACAGCACCCCCGGGACAGAAAAGAUGUGAGGGUUUUUUUGGUAUUUUGUCAACUUUUGCAGCUCGCUGCUGUGGGAGGAGCUCAAGGCAAAUAACUCUGAGAUGGGAUUUGGCCAAAGGUUGGGAAACUGAUCAUUAAUAACUUCUGUUGAGACUGUGCUCAGGGUAAUUGCUCUGUAUUUCUUGUCACAAACCUGUUGUCUAGGAGGGGUCAGGCAGAACUGUUCCCUACCCCCGCCAAGCACAGGGCUGCUGGUUGGGCUUUUUGUGCCUUUCAUUGCAUUGAAGCAUCAAAUACUUCCACCUGGAAAGGCACAGUGCUAAUGGCUGGAUGCGGGGUAGCCUAGUGGCAGGCGCUAAUAAAGCAGUGGGCAGGCUGCCGUAAAAGUUCAGGUUCUGAAAGGCUGGCUGGCAUUUGAAAACACCGCCUUUCCUCAGCACGGAUGGAACAGCAGCAGCAUUCUGGGCCUUGUGCUGUAUCAGUGGCUGUGCUGUGUGCUAGGGCUGCCCCUCAAGUUUGGUUCCAGCUUCCUCUGUUGUUUUUUUCUUCAUUAUGCAACUGCCUAAAAGGCUUCUUGUCUGAACCUGAAGCAGCAUCUGAAAAACUCUGUUUUAAUUACUGGCACAUGCAGCUCCGUGACACACAUCCUGGUGUAACCUGGGCAUUGCUACUUGAACUGGGAAGUGCUGAUAUCACUGUAACGAGCAUAAUAUGGACCUUAGACAACAUAAGACUGAGAACAGAACACAGCUCCUCCCUCAGAUAGCAUUCCUUUGAGCAGUGACUGUAUAAGUUUGUUUGUGUCUUUUUCCCCCCCCCAUGUUUAUUAUUUCAAGAAGCAUAUAUAAAAUGUGUUCAGUUUAUGAGAAAACAAGAAGAUCCUGGCCUUCCUGUCAGCACUGCAGGCUCAUCCUAUGCUUCAGAAAUCCAUCAGAUUCCUUCCCUCUCAGAUCACCAGUUGUGAGGGUUCUGUGGGACAGAUGUAUGCCUUGUUUACAUUGCACAGCAACACUGUCUUCAGGUUCUGCUCCCAGUGUGCAUACACAAUGUGGAAUCACAUCCAGCUCAUUUGCUUUCCCUCUGUUCUGUUGUCUCUGAAAAGCCAAGAGGAUUAAAAAAGGCAGCAAACAUUCACUAUUGUUAAUAAGCCCAGUUCAUCUGACUUUAAAUAAACAAAGUAAUAAAUCCAUUAGGAAAUAAGAUGUGACUUCUCCUAGUUACCCUCCAGGAGAGAACCAUG